rnacentral:rRNA from 1 species
AACCAGCACCUCAAGUGGUCAGGAUGAUUAUUGGGCCUAAAGCAUCCGUAGCCGGCUCUGUUAGUUUUCGGUUAAAUCCGUACGCUCAACGUACAGGCCGCCGGGAAUACUGCAGAGCUAGGGAGUGGGAGAGGUAGACGGUACUCGGUAGGAAGGGGUAAAAUCCUUUGAUCUAUUGAUGACCACCUGUGGCGAAGGCGGUCUACCAGAACACGUCCGACGGUGAGGGAUGAAAGCUGGGGGAGCAAACCGGAUUAGAUACCCGGGUAGUCCCAGCUGUAAACUAUGCAAACUCAGUGAUGCAUUGGCUUGUGGCCAAUGCAGUGCUGCAGGGAAGCCGUUAAGUUUGCCGCCUGGGAAGUACGUACGCAAGUAUGAAACUUAAAGGAAUUGGCGGGGGAGCACCACAAGGGGUGAAGCCUGCGGUUC